AUGAGAAUUUUAAGUUUAAAUCUCUGCCAAUAUCCAUAAAAUACCAAAACCCAAGUUAUAUAAUAGAUUAUACAGUUUACUGCAUCCAAUAUACUGGAGAAACAUAAUGUCUAGAUUGACUGUCUAUCUAUAGUGACUGUUUACUCAGCAUGAUUGAAAUCCACUUUGUUUUGAGAGUAGCCUACAGAUGUUUGACUAGUAAAUGCAAAUCAAAAGUUAUUUAUGGCUCCCAGUCCACCUAUAUCUCUCAGUACACACAUCUAGAGUACACUGACAUCCAUGUCCACUGCUACUUCAAAAAUGUAGCUGCUAUUUCCUAACUUUGUGAGGAACCUUAGAUGCGCCAAUUUGCAUACAGUAUGAUGUAAUAUUUACUCAAUGUCCUUUCAUUUUGAGGAUCUAAAGAGACUGGACUGAAAGUGUAGCUAUCCUUUAGCUUUUCCAGCUACUACAAGUCUAAGAUCAAAAGAUCUAUAUUCACAGGUUACCAGUGUAAGACCCCUCAGGAAUAGAGGGUUUGCAAUUUCUGAGGUAAACAGCAGGUAACUAAGUACUUCCUGUCUGUUAGCAGAGCUGGCGUGAGUGAAGGCUGAAGAAAAAGGGGGUGGGGCUCACUGCUCUUUUCUCCCUCACAAGCAUCAGGCAUCUCUAGCACAAAAGCUCAGCUAAAUCAGAUGUUAACACGUAUGCAUUGAACAUUGAAAACAAUUAUUAUGUUCAAUACUAAGGGUCCAAGGUGUGAACAACUGGUGCUGAACUAGAGGGAUUUCACGUGACUUCAAAAUGAAUGGGAGAAAUUGGAACAACCAUUAUGGCGAGUGUUGAAAAGGAAGUCCCGCCUUGCAGAUAGGAGCUGUACUGUUAUGCUGCUUGUAUUUAUUGAAAAUAGCUGCCCGGGAGGGUUCCCAAGAUGGCUGCCGAGUGGACUGACUUGCCUUGAAAGUGACUUUCUUUAGCCUUAUUCACAAAGCUGUCGUGGGUGAGAUUAUGCCCCAUGUGCCUUUGACGAGACGGCUUGCUCUGCACUAGUGCAUUAAUCCACAUUCCUCACACUGCAAGUUCAAAGUGCACGCUCGCUCUGCUGAUCAUGUUCCGAACUGGCCUGGGAUUUGAGAGAUUCUUGAAAGGUUGAAGGCACAAGGCAUUGCUGAAACCCCCCAAAAUAUGACACCUCCCCUCUUUAGACACACCACUCAAAAACUAAUUUUCAUUUAAUGCUGUACAAUGCAAAAAAGAUUAAACAACAGAGGUCAGACCUGUUUUGAGAGAGCUAGAACACUGAUGCUGGCCUUAUUUUUUAUUAAGCUAAGUUAAUGGGUUUUGCUGUUUUAUUUUUCCUUUAACAUGUUUUAUUUGUCUGCAGGCACACUGGACUCCCUCCAGUUUCUAAGACUCUCAUUAAACACUUUGAUAUUAUCUGACAUGUUUGAGCAGGCACAUUUUAACAACACUUCACAGUAUGAGAAUGUACUGUAAGUAAGAAACAUGCUGCCGGUUAUUGUUAACAGCUCAUAAACAUUUGCGAUUCCAAUGGAGAGGAUCAUAAAUAUAUCCGAAUAUGAUUCCAAACACUGGAAUCCUGACAACCACGAGACCCUCGUGAAUUGAUUACCAAUUCAUAAACAUGCUUCACUCUAUGUUAUAACCACAGAUGUACAGUUGAAGUCAGAAGUUUACAUACACCUUAGCCAAAUACAUUUAAACUUAUUUAAACAAUUCCUUACAUUUAAUUGUAGAAAACUUUCCCUGUCUUAGGUCAGUUAGGAUCACUACUUUAUUUUAAGAAUGUGAAAUGUCAGAAUAAUAGUAGAGAGAAUUAUUUAUUUCAGCUUUUAUUUCUUUCAUCACAUUCCCAGUAGGUCAGAAGUUUACAUACACUUUGUUAGUAUUUGGUAGCAAUGCCUUUAAAUUGUUUAACUUGGGUCAAACGUUUUGGGUGGCCUUCCACAAGCUUCUCACAAUAAGUUGCUGGAAUUUUGGCCCAUUCCUCCAGACAGAACUGGUGUAACCGAGUCAGGUUUGUAGGCCUCCUUGCUCGCACACACAUUUUCAGUUCUGCACACAAAUUUUCCAUUGGAUUGAGGUCAGGGCUUUGUGAUGGCCACUCCAGUACGUUGACUUAGUUGUCCUUAAGCCAUUUUGCCACAACUUUGGAGGUAUACUUGGGGUCAUUGUACAUUUGGAAGACCCAUUUGCAACCAAGCUUUAACUUCCUGGCUGAUGUCUUGAGAUGUUGCUUCAAUAUAUCCACAUGUCGAUGUAGGACUCGUUUUACUGUGGAUAUAGAUACUUGUCUACCUUUUUCCUCCAGCAUCUUCACAAGGUCCUUUUUGUUCUGGGAUUGAUUUGCACUUUUCGCACCAAACUACGUUCAUCUCUAGGAGACAGAAUGUGUCUCCUUCCUGAGCGGUAUGAUGGCUGCGUGGUCCCAUGGUGUUUAUUCUUGCGAACUAUUGUUUGUACAGAUGAACGUGGUACCUUCAGGCAUUUGGAAAUUGCUCCCAAGGAUGAACCAGACUUGUGGAGGUCCACAGUUUGUUUCUGAGGUCUUGGAUGAUUUCUUUUGAUUUUCCCAUAAUGUCAAGCAAAGAGGCACUGAGUUUGAAGGUAGGCCUUAAAAUACAUCCACAGGUACACCUCCAAUUCAGUACACCUCCUAUCAGAAGCUAAUUGGCUAAUUGUCUAAAGGCUUGACAUCAUUUUCUGGAAUUUUCCAAGCUGCUUAAAGGCACAGUUAACAUAGCGUAUGUAAACUUCUGACCUACUGGAAUUGUGAUAUAGUCAAUUAAAAGUGAAACAAUCUGUCUGUAAACAAUUGUUGGACAAAUUACUCAUGUCAUGCACAAUGUAGAUCUCCUAAAGGACUUGCCAAAACUAUAGUUUGGUAAUAUUAAAUCUGUGGAAUGGCUGAGUAUUAAUGACUUCAACCUAAGUGUAUGUAAACUUCUGACUUCAACUGUAUUUUGCAGCACUAGUUAGUGAAGGGUGUGUAUUACACACAGAAAAGUUUUUAUAUAUAUGUAUAUAUAUAUAUAUA